AUUAAUCUGCAUGCGAGUUAAAGUUAAACCGCGAUUGGUGCAUAUUAUAGUACGUGCUGAUUACGUCAGCACGCAGUGUUUGGUGAGUGUGCACCUUCGUUGAUACCAGCGUACGGAACUUCAAAAUAUUUCAAAUGCAAGUUGGAUAAAGAAAAGCGCAGAGGAAUGCAGGUACUUGUCUCACUGGGCCGUUAGCUGAAGAGGGCCAGAAUAGGCUUUACAGCCCAAACUAUGGGCCUAAAUUCUGACCCAUCACAUAGUACGGGCCAGAAUUUUGUGAUGCGUCCGUGCAGCCCUUGUUCGGUUGUUCCCUUCUCCCCGGCGCCGCCGCGGCGUCGCCGUCGGCGGCGGUGCAACCGUGCAGGAUUGCGGCCGCUGCCGUCUCGCUUCGUGAGCCGCAGCAGUAAACGCCAGCUGCUCGGCCGUAGGCAUUGAGGGAGUCGCCGAACAACGCUAGUGUUCUCCUCCGCUGCGUUGGUGGCGGUGGUGACUGGUUAGGGCGGCGGAUUGGGGAUGGAUUACAAACACAAGCAACGGGGAGCCGGGGAGAUGGGCAUCCUGUCCUGUACUUUCUGCGUUGGGCGAGGCAUAGAUCGAGCAGAUGAACUCAUCAAAAGUUCGAAGGCUGAGUAGAGGUGCCCGCUGCUUCUUCGUUUCUUCAGAGGAACCGUGGAGGAAUCCAUUUUCUUGCUGCCUGAAACAACAGAUUUUAUCAGCAAAAGUAAUGUCAAGAGUAGAAUAUUUGAUGUUGUCUCAAAACAAAUGAAGCAUCACGUUUGAAGUUCAAUAUUCUUUAGAUGAUGCCUGAUUUGUUGAUUGUGUUGGCUGGAGAAUAAUCACAGUUACGGUUAGCUAGAAUACCAAGUAUUUUUUUUCCUUCAAAUCUAUAUGAUAAAGAUAGUUAAUUAGAA